rnacentral:tRNA from 1 species
GGAGGGGUGGCCGAGCGGUUUAAGGCGGUGGUCUUGAAAACCACUAAUCGAAAGAUUCGUGGGUUCGAAUCCCACCCCCUCCG